rnacentral:miRNA from 1 species
UGUAUAUAUGUAUACGUGUGUGUGCAUAUAUAUGUGUGUAUAUAUAUAUAUAUACACGUAUAUAAC